CUCGCUACCUCCUCUGUGAUUCGUCGCUGAGCAAAUACUCUAUGAGGAAAAGGAGCCUUAGGUCUGACAAGAGGAAAAGAAGUCGGAAAUUAAAGGAAGGCUCGCAGGGAGAUAAUUUCAGGGUGCACUCUCUAUGAGAAAAGCAGUGAAAGGCUUUUCGAGAAUUAAGUAGGUUGGGAAGAAAGCCUCAAGACAGACUAGUAACUUGCUGCUUCAAGCCAUUGCUUUUAGAAGUGCAAACAGUUCGAUUUCAGAUGGAUUUCAGUUUUCUCACCUAACUUCCUGAAAAGCCAAUAGACCCAGUUGCUGAAGAAUUGGAAGGACUAAAAAUCUGUUUUUCAAAAAAAGUUACCAUUGUGGAAAAUGUCUACAGAGGCAGCUGUUCUAUCCAGAGAGGAACGUCAAAAGUUGCACAGAAUUUCCACUACUUCUGAAAACUUCUAGUAUUGCUUGUCAAAUCAGAGAAUAUUCUUUCAUGGCAACUAUUAGCUGGAGCUGGACACUGCUACUCCUCAAGAGGCAACCUGUUCCACCCAGAAAAGAAGUUACUUAUGAAUGAAAGUCUUACCCUUGUUAGGAAAGAGGAGGAUCAUUUGAAUCAAUAAAGGAAGGCAUUAUCAGAAAGGCAUUCAGGAAGCAGAAUCCCAUGCCUCAGAACCACACUGGAAUCAAGGAGUUUCAUGGGACGACUGGAAGAUGGGGGAAGGCAACUUCAGUCAACAUGACUCCUGAAGACAUACUCAAUAUGCAAGCCUACUUCUUGAAGGCCUUUUAGAAGUGGCUUUUCCUUAAAGUUUAGGGCAGAACCAACUCUAUAUCAGACACUAUGCUAACUCUAUGCAGGGCAC